UGAGGAAUAUUGGUCAAUGGGCGCGAGCCUGAACCAGCCAAGUAGCGUGAAGGAUGAAGGUCCUACGGAUUGUAAACUUCUUUUAUAAGGGAAUAAAGUCACCCACGUGUGGGUGUUUGUAUGUACCUUAUGAAUAAGCAUCGGCUAACUCCGUGCCAGCAGCCGCGGUAAUACGGAGGAUGCGAGCGUUAUCCGGAUUUAUUGGGUUUAAAGGGAGCGUAGACGGGCCGUUAAGUCAGCUGUGAAAGUUUGAGGCUCAACCUUAAAAUUGCAGUUGAAACUGGCAGUCUUGAGUACAGUAGAGGUGGGCGGAAUUCGUGGUGUAGCGGUGAAAUGCUUAGAUAUCACGAAGAACUCCGAUUGCGAAGGCAGCUCACUAGACUGCAACUGACACUGAUGCUCGAAAGUGUGGGUAUCAAACAGGAUUAGAUACCCUGGUAGUCCACACAGUAAACGAUGAAUACUCGCUGUUUGCGAUAUACAGUAAGCGGCCAAGCGAAAGCAUUAAGUAUUCCACCUGGGGAGUACGCCGGCAACGGUGAAACUCAAAGGAAUUGACGGGGGCCCGCACAAGCGGAGGAACAUGUGGUUUAAUUCGAUGAUACGCGAGGAACCUUACCCGGGCUUAAAUUGCAUUUGAAUAAUCUGGAAACAGGUUAGCCGCAAGGCAAAUGUGAAGGUGCUGCAUGGUUGUCGUCAGCUCGUGCCGUGAGGUGUCGGCUUAAGUGCCAUAACGAGCGCAACCCUUAUCUUUAGUUACUAACAGGUCAUGCUGAGGACUCUAGAGAGACUGCCGUCGUAAGAUGUGAGGAAGGUGGGGAUGACGUCAAAUCAGCACGGCCCUUACGUCCGGGGCUACACACGUGUUACAAUGGGGGGUACAGAAGGCAGCUACCUGGCGACAGGAUGCUAAUCCCAAAAACCUCUCUCAGUUCGGAUCGAAGUCUGCAACCCGACUUCGUGAAGCUGGAUUCGCUAGUAAUCGCGCAUCAGCCAUGGCGCGGUGAAUACGUUCCC
rnacentral:rRNA from 1 species